rnacentral:tRNA from 1 species
GCCUGGCGGGCGCCAGUUUUGGGGGGUUCAAUUCCCCC